CGGACGGGUGAGUAACGCGUGAGAAUCUAACUUCAGGACGGGGACAACAGUUGGAAACGACUGCUAAUACCCGAUAUGCCGCGAGGUGAAACCUAAUUGGCCUGAAGAAGAGCUUGCGUCUGAUUAGCUAGUUGGUGGGGUAAAAGCCUACCAAGGCGACGAUCAGUAGCUGGUCUGAGAGGAUGAGCAGCCACACUGGGACUGAGACACGGCCCAGACUCCUACGGGAGGCAGCAGUGGGGAAUUUUCCGCAAUGGGCGAAAGCCUGACGGAGCAACGCCGCGUGAGGGAGGAAGGUCUUUGGAUUGUAAACCUCUUUUCUCAAGGAAGAAGUUCUGACGGUACUUGAGGAAUCAGCCUCGGCUAACUCCGUGCCAGCAGCCGCGGUAAUACGGGGGAGGCAAGCGUUAUCCGGAAUUAUUGGGCGUAAAGCGUCCGCAGGUGGUCAGCCAAGUCUGCUGUCAAAUCAGGUUGCUUAACGACCUAAAGGCGGUGGAAACUGGCAGACUAGAGAGCAGUAGGGGUAGCAGGAAUUCCCAGUGUAGCGGUGAAAUGCGUAGAGAUUGGGAAGAACAUCGGUGGCGAAAGCGUGCUACUGGGCUGUAUCUGACACUCAGGGACGAAAGCUAGGGGA
rnacentral:rRNA from 1 species